GACGAACGCUGGCGGCGUGCUUAACACAUGCAAGUCGAACGGAAAGGCCCUGCUUUUGUGGGGUGCUCGAGUGGCGAACGGGUGAGUAACACGUGAGUAACCUGCCCUUGACUUUGGGAUAACUUCAGGAAACUGGGGCUAAUACCGGAUAGGAGCUCCUGCUGCAUGGUGGGGGUUGGAAAGUUUCGGCGGUUGGGGAUGGACUCGCGGCUUAUCAGCUUGUUGGUGGGGUAGUGGCUUACCAAGGCUUUGACGGGUAGCCGGCCUGAGAGGGUGACCGGCCACAUUGGGACUGGGAUACGGCCCAGACUCCUACGGGAGGCAGCAGUGGGGAAUAUUGCACAAUGGGCGGAAGCCUGAUGCAGCAACGCCGCGUGCGGGAUGACGGCCGUCGGGUUGUAAACCGCUUUCGCCUGUGACGAAGCGUGAGUGACGGUAAUGGGUAAAGAAGCACCGGCUAACUACGUG
rnacentral:rRNA from 1 species